AACGAACGCUGGCGGCAGGCUUAACACAUGCAAGUCGAGCGCCCCGCAAGGGGAGCGGCAGACGGGUGAGUAACGCGUGGGAACGUACCCUUAUCUUCGGGAUAGCUUCGGGAAACUGGAAUUAAUACCUAAUGUGCCCUUUGGGGGAAAGAUUUAUCGGAUAAGGAUCGGCCCGCGUUGGAUUAGCUAGUUGGUGGGGUAAAGGCCUACCAAGGCGACGAACCAUAGCUGGUCUGAGAGGAUGAUCAGCCACAUUGGGACUGAGACACGGCCCAAACUCAUACGAGAGGCAGCAGUAGGGAAUAUUAGACAAUGGGCGCAAGUCAAGUACAGCCAUGCCGCGUAAGUGAUGAAGGCCGUAGGGUUGUAAAGCUCUUUCACCGGAGAAGAUAAUGACGGUAACCGGAGAAGAAGCCCCGGCUAACUUCGUG
rnacentral:rRNA from 1 species